GCCAGUGUGGUGUAGUGGUUUGAGUACUAGACUAGGAUUCCAAGAGGUGAGGAUUCAAAUCCCUCCUCAGCCA